CAAAGACACAUUGGUUUUCGCACUCUAACUUUAGUUUAAGUGAAUGGAUCUUUAUGAAAUUUUACCACAAGGUUCAAUACCACAAAAGGAAGGUUGGGAUUGAUUUUGGGGGUUAUGGUACCAACAGUUAAGGAAUUAGGGGCCAAAAAGGGGCCAAAAAUAAGCAUUUUUGUAACUUUCAGACAAUAACUUGUGUGUAAGUGUAUGGAUCUCUCUGACAUUGUACCACAAGGUUCCAUAUCACAAAGGGAAGGCUGUAAUUGAUUUUGGGGGUAAUUGCCUCAAAAUUUUAGGAAUUAGGGGCCAAAAAAGGGGCAAAAAACAAGCAUUUUUCUAGUUUCAUGACAAUAACUUGUGUGUAAGUGUUUGGAUAUUUCUGAAAUUGUACUACAAGGUUCCAUAUCACAAAGGGAAAGCUGGGUUUGAGUUUGGGGGUAAUUGCCCGAAACGUUUAGGAAUUGGGGGCCAAAAAGGGGCCAAAUAUAAGCAUUUUUCUAGUUUCCAGACAAUAACUUGUGUUCAAGUGUAUGGAUCUCUCUGAAAUUGUACUGCAAGGUACCAUACCACAAAGGGAAGGUUGGGAUUGAGUUUGGGGGUGAUGAAUCAUAAGGUGGUUCAAAAAAUUGGGGGGGGGGGAUUUUUUUUUUUUUUUUUUUUUCUUUUUAUUCCUUUUUUUUUUCUUUUAAAAUUUUCCAUUUUAAGUUGGUUAUUUCUGAUUUAUAUUUAAAAGCAAAUAAUAAUGAUAUGGUAGGAGAUACACACCAAACAGGAUGUGUAAAUUAUUAUAUAAUAAGUAUUGUGCAAUAGCAAGAAAUUUUCAAUUGCACAGUAUUGCACAAUAGCAAGAAAUCUUCAAUUGCACAGUAUUGCGCAAUAGCAAGAAAUCUUCAAUUUAACAGUAUUGCGCAAUAGCAAGAAAUAUCCAAUAGCACAAUAUUGCGCAAUAGCAAGAAAUUGUCAAUUGUACAGUAUUGCGCAAUAGCAAGAAAUAUUCAAUUGCACAGUAUUGUGCAAAAGAAGAUACUUCGUAUAAAUUGCUUAUUUCUUGAUCAAUUUCAAUGGGGUUUUAUUCUUGAAUUCUUGGGGUUCUUUAGUAUGCUGAAUCUAACCGUGUAUUAAGUUUUUGGAUUUUGGGCCCCGUUUUUAAAUUGGUCCACAUUGAGGUCCAAAGGGUCCAAAAUUUAACUUUGUUUGAUUUCAUCAAAAAUUGAAUUAUUGGGGUUCUUUGAUAUGCCGAAUCUAACCGUGUAUUUAGAUUUUUAAUUUUGGGUCCCGUUUUUUAAAUUGGUCUACAUUAAGGUCCAAAGGGUCCAAAAUUAAACUUAGUUUGAUUUUAACAAAAAUUGAAUUCUUAGGGUUCUUUGAUAUGCUGAAUCUAAACAUGUGUUUAGAUUUUUGAUUUUGGGCCCAGUUUUCAAGUUGGUCCAAGUUGGGGUCCAAAAUUAAACUUUGUUUGAUUUCAACAAAAAUUGAAUAUAUGGGGUUCUUUGAUAUGCUGAAUCUAAACAUGUAUUUAGAUUUUAGAUUUUUGGCCCAGUUUUCAAGUUGGUCCAAAUUGGGGUCCAAAAUUAAACUUUGUUUGAUUUCAACAAAAAAUGAAUAUAUGGGGUUCUUUGAUAUGCUGAAUCUUACCAUGUAUUUAGAUUUUUUAUUUGUGGGCCCGCUAUCAAAUUGGUUCAUAUUGAGGUCAAAAGGGUCCACAAUUAAACUUUGUUUGAUUUCAUCAAAAAUUGAAUUAUUGGGGUUCUUUGAUAUGCCAAAUCUAACCGUGUAUUUAGAUUUUUAAUUUUGGGUCCUGUUUUUUAAAUUGGUCUACAUUAAGGUCCAAAGGGUCCAAAAUUAAACUUAGUUUGAUUUUAACAAAAAUUGAAUUUUUGGGGUUCUUUGAUAUGCUGAAUCUAAACAUGUGUUUAGAUUUUUGAUUAUGGGACCAGUUUUCAAGUUGGUCCAAGUUGGGGUCCAAAAUUAAACUUUGUUUGAUUUCAACAAAAAUUGAAUAUAUGGGGUUCUUUGAUAUGCUGAAUCUAAACAUGUAUUUAGAUUUUAGAUUUUUGGCCCAGUUUUCAAGUUGGUCCAAAUUGGGGUCCAAAAUUAAACUUUGUUUGAUUUCAACAAAAAUUGAAUAUAUGGGGUUCUUUGAUAUGCUGAAUCUUACCAUGUAUUUAGAUUUUUUAUUUGUGGGCCCGCUAUCAAAUUGGUUCAUAUUGAGGUCAAAAGGGUCUAAAAUUAAACUUUGUUUGAUUUCAUCAAAAAUUGAAUUAUUGGGGUUCUUUGAUAUGCCAAAUCUAACCGUGUUUUUAGAUUUUUUAUUUUGGGUCCCGUUUUUUAAAUUUGUCUACAUUAAGGUCCAAAGGGUCCAAAAUUAAACUUAGUUUGAUUUUAACAAAAAUUGAAUUCUUCAGGUACUUUGAUAUGCUGAAUCUAAACAUGUGUUUAGAUUUUUGAUUAUGGGACCAGUUUUCAAGUUUGUCCAAGUUGGGGUCCAAAAUUAAACUUUGUUUGAUUUCAACAAAAAUUGAAUAUAUGGGGUUCUUUGAUAUGCUGAAUCUAACCAUGUAUUUUGAUUUUGGACAUUGGACCAUAAUAGGUAAAUUAAAAAAAUUGAAGUUCUUAGACCACAUUCUUUCUGUGUCAGAAACCUAUGCUGUGUCAAAUAUUUAAUCACAAUCCAAAUUCAGAGCUGUAUCAAGCUUGAAUGUUGUGUCCAUACUUGCCCCAACUGUUCAGGGUUCGACCUCUGCGGUCGUAUCAAGCUGCGCCCAGCGAAGCAUUUUAUUAAUUUUGGGUCCAGUUUUCAAAUUGGUCUACAUUAAGGUCCAAAGGGUCCAAAAUUAAACUUUGUUUGAUUUUAGCAAAAAUUGAAUAUAUGAGGUUCUUAGAUAUGCUGAAUCUAAACAUUUAUUUAGAUUUUUGAUUUUUGGCCCAGUUUUCAAGUUGGUCCAAAUUGGGGUCCAAAAUUAAACUUUGUUUGAUUUCAACAAAAAUUGAAUAUAUGGGGUUCUUUGAUAUGCUGAAUCUAACCAUGUAUUUAGAUUUUUUAUUUGUGGACCCCGUUAUCAAAUUGGUUCAUAUUGAGGUCAAAAGGGUCCAAAAUUAAACUUUGUUUGAUUUCAUCAAAAAUUGAAUUAUUGGGGUUCUUUGAUAUGCCAAAUCUAACAGUGUAUUUAGAUUUUUAAUUUUGGGUCCCAUUUUUUUAAUUGGUCUACAUUAAGGUCCAAAGGGUCCAAAAUUAAACUUAGUUUGAUUUUAACAAAAAUUGAAUUCUUGGGGUUCUUUGAUAUGCUGAAUCUAAACAUGUGUUUAGAUUUUUGAUUAUGGGCCCAGUUUUCAAGUUGGUCCAAGUUGGGGUCCAAAAUAAAACUUUGUUUGAUUUCAACAAAAAUUGAAUUAUUGGGGUUCUUUGAUAUUCCAAAUCUAACCGUGUAUUUAGAUUUUUAAUUUUGGGUCCCGUUUUUUAAAUUGGUCUACAUUAAGGUCCAAAGGGUCCAAAAUUAAACUUAGUUUGAUUUUAACAAAAAUUGAAUUUUUGGGGUUCUUUGAUAUGCUGAAUCUAUAAAUGUGUUUAGAUUUUUGAUUAUGGGCCCAGUUUUCAAGUUGGUCUAAGUUGGGGUCCAAAAUUAAACUUUGUUUGAUUUCAACAAAAAUUGAAUAUAUGGGGUUCUUUGAUAUGCUGAAUCUAAACAUGUAUUUAGAUUUUAGAUUUUUGGCCCAGUUUUCAAGUUGGUCCAAACUGGGGUCCAAAUCAAACUUUGUUUGAUUUCAACAAAAAA